UACAAUUUUAAUGUCCCAACAUAUUGAUUAUAGUAUACCCAGGUCCAGCUAGUAUUAAAGAAACAAUGGUGACUGAAUAUGUACAAUUAACUUGAAACAAGAGGUCAAACAUCAAUAUACAGCCAUAAUAAGUGAAUGAGUUAAAAUAAUCAGAAUGUUUGGUUUGACUUACAUCUGGUUGGAGGUGUACUUUUUAUUAACAAAUGUAUUUGUGGUCGUUGAACCACAAGCUACAAAAGUCUUGCGCCAACCACAAAACGUAACCGAAAAAGAAGGGGAAUCAGCCGACUUUACUGUUAUGCUAGAUAAUGCAGAGCCAGGG